GCCGAAAUAGCCCACUUGGGAGAGCUUUAGAAUGAAGAUCUAAAGGUCCCUGGUUCGAUAACGGGUUUCGGCA
rnacentral:tRNA from 1 species